AAUUAGUUAUUAAUAAUUAGUUGUUAAUUGUUAAUAAUUAGGUAAUUAAUUAAUUAAUGGGAGGGGUCUAUGAGGGGUUCAUGAGGCAAUUGGUUAAUAAAUAAGUGAUUAAUUAAGUAAGGAAUGACGGGAGGGGUCUAUAGCGGGUUAUUAACAGGGUAAUCAAUGGGUUAUUAAUUAAUUAAUAAUUAUUAAUUAAUUUUUUUUUCCGUUUGCAGGUGGGCGGGGCAGGCGCUGGGCCUGGGCCCCUGGGGGGCGCUGGGGCUGCGGGCGCUGGGGGCGGCGGCGCUGGGGCUGGGGGCAAUGAGGCUGCUGGUGCCCCUGCUGCCCCCCCCGUGACACACCUGGCACACCUGGGCACACCUGGGCACACCUGGGAACCCAAAAACGGCGAAAAUUUGGUGAAAAUCGGUGAAAAUUUGGGGAAAAUCGGUGGAAAUUUGAGGAAAAUAGGAGGAAAUUUGGGGGUUUGGGCACACCUGGGCACACCUGGGAGGGAAAAAAACGGCGAAAAUUUUGGGAAAAACAAAAUUUGGGGGUUUGGGGACACCUGGGCACACCUGGGGGCUCCAAAAUGGGGAAAAACGGCGAAAAUUGGGUGAAAAUCGGUGAAAAUUUGAGGAAAAUUGGAGAAUUUGGGUGUGAAAUGGGCGUGGCCCAGGUAUGCAAAUGAUCCCCAUGUGUGCAAUGGGCGUGGCCCAGGUAUGUAAAUGAUCCCCAGGUGUGAAAUGGGCAUGGGCUAAAUAUGUAAAUGACCCGCAGGUGUGCAAUGGGCGUGGCCCAGGUAUGUAAAUGAGCCCCAGGCGUGCAAUGGGCGUUGCCCAAAUGUGAAGUGGGCGUGGCCCUGGUAUGGAAAUGAGCCCUGGGUAUGAAGUGGGCGUGGCCCGGUGUGUGCAGUGGGCGUGUCCUAGGUAUGUAAAUGAUCUCCAGGUGUGUGAUUGGCUCCCAGGUGUGAAGUGGGCGUGGCCAUGGUAUGCAAAUGACCCCCAGGUGUGUAAAUGGUGCCCAAGUCUGAAGUGGGCGUGGCUCAGGUGUGAAUGGGUGUGGCCCAGGUGUGAAACGGGCGUGGCCCGGGUAUGCAAAUGAGCCCCAGGUGAGGAGUGGGCGUGGCCCGGGUAUGCAAAUGUGGCCCCGCCCACUGCCCCACCCCGAGCAAUAAACGCACCUGGACACACCUGAACGCGUCGUUU
rnacentral:lncRNA from 1 species